GUUCCGUCAAAGAACUUAAGGAGAAAGAAAACUUGGUUGGACAAGUUACUCAAGGGGAAGCACAGAGUAACUAAAGGACCAACAAAACAGGGAGAGAAGCCACAAAAGAAGAAGGAUGGUGUGCAAAAAAAGAAAAAAGAUGGUGUGCAGCCUCAAGUAGGAGUGGAGAAGUAUGACAACAAAAAAGAAGUAAAUUUGGUGCUUCAAGAGUGCAAUAAUAUUACAAGCUUCACCCAGCUCUUGACGGCUAACCUUGAUAAUCUGUUCUAGCAUGAAACUUGUUACAUAAUAUUUUGUACAUGGUGCUGAUGAUGAACAUUAUCUGAUCUAGCAUGGAACUUAUUAGAUAGUAUUUUGGACAUAGUUAACUAUAGUAGUAUGGGGUUAACUAUAUUUUGUGGCCUAAGUGUACAAGUGAAAUGGCCGUUUCGUGGAGAAUUUGAAAUGGCCGUUUUGUGGCCUAAUCUGUUCUGGUAUGGGGUUAACUAUAUUAUUUUGUGGCCUAAGUGUACAAGCAAGUGGUACUGAAUUUGUA